rnacentral:lncRNA from 1 species
GGGCCGGGAAGACGGGGGAGGGGGGCUGUCCCCACACCACCUGAGCCCACUCCCCCCUACAGCCAUUGAGACCCUGCUGUGCUACCUGGAGCUGCAUCCCCGGCACUGGCUGGAGCUGCUGCCAACCACCUAUUCCCGCUGUCACCUGCGCUGCCCUGGGGGCCCCACCCAGCUCCAGGCCCUGGCCCACAAGUGAGUACACAGCACCCUGGGUCAGGGAUAUGGACAGAGGGCCAGGGAUGCUAGUCACAUGCCCCUUUCCUCUGGAGCACAGGUGUCCUCUUGCAGCUGCAUGCUGGGCCAGGUGGCCACCUGAGGACAUGGGGCCAGGCAGCAGCUCCAUGGAAUUUGAUGUGGUAGAGCUGGUGAACUCGAUGGGCUGGGAGCUGGCAUCUGUGCAGCAGGCUCUCCGUCAGCUGCAGUGGGACCCAGAGCCCAGGACAGGUGUGCUUGCCCCUACUCCCCCACCCGACUGCCGGCCACCCAUCCACCCUCCCACCCAUCCACCCUACACCUGAUACACUCUGGCAGGUGUGCUGCAGGGAACAGGGGUGAUUGUGGAGUUCAGGGAGCUGGCGUUCCACCUGCGCAGCCCUGGUGAUCUGACUGCUGAGGAGAGGGACGAGGUAUGCGACUUUCUGUUCAACCGUGUGCAGGCCCAAGAGCGCAAGGCCCUGGCACAUCUGCGCCGAAUGUCUGAGGCCUUUCACAGGUAGGAAGUGGGUGGGCAGGUGCUGGGACCAUCCACUC